UUCUAUAUCUUUAAGUGAAUAUAAUAUUAAUUUCAUAAGAUUAUAUUUUAAUAUUUUAUAAAUCUAAAUAAAAUAGUCAAUAUCAUCUUAGAAAAGAAAAUAUGUGUUUUUUUAUAAAAUUUUUUAUAUACAAAAAUAAAAUAUUUAAUUUUUAUUAUUUAAUAUUAAGCAUUUUAAUUAUUUUAUAUAAA
rnacentral:tRNA from 1 species